rnacentral:rRNA from 1 species
UACGUAGGGUGCGAGCGUUAAUCGGAAUUACUGGGCGUAAAGCGUGCGCAGGCGGCUUUAUAAGUCAGGCGUGUAAGCCCCUGGCUCAACCUGGGAAUUGCGUUUGAAACUAUUUAGCUUGAGUACAGGAGAGGAAGGCGGAAUUCCCAGUGUAGCGGUGAAAUGCAUUGAUAUUGGGAAGAACACCGGUGGCGAAGGCGGCCUUCUGGUCUGAUACUGACGCUGAGAUACGAAAGCCAGGGGAGCGAACGGG